rnacentral:misc_RNA from 1 species
CUGAUCCUUAUCUCGGAAUGCUCCUUCUUCCAACAGCCGCGCGCUCCCUCUCCAUUUUUCUCUCCAGCCGGCAUUUCUCCCUACGCACUCCCUCCGCCUGGCGUGUUCCUCUCCCUCUCCCAUGGCCGCUCCCUGGGGAUCGCCUGCCUGCUCAAGCGCACGCCCAGCCCCAGCCCGGAUCUUCUUCCUCCUGCGCCGCGCGCUGCGGUGCUCCAGCCAUGGCCGCCGAGCUCGGCCUAUGCUCCUCCCUGCGUCGCGCGCCGAGAUCCCUACAGUCCUCCCUGCGCCCUGCCGAAGCCCUCCUAUGGCGCGCCCCUCUUCCUGGUUCUUCUCUGCGCGCGCGUCUACUCCCUCAGCUCACCACGCGCCCUGCUCCUCGCUCCUCCCUGUGCGCGCGCUCCUGGCUCCUGCAGGUGUUCCAAUCGUUGGCGCCGCUGAUUGAAACUGCUUUCCGUCGGUCCAGUGUUCCUGCAGGGCUUCCUGUGAGCUAUUCCCUAGAAAAAAAGAAAAUCGCCGUUGUCUUCCUUGUCGAGCGCCGUCGGGUCGGCCUCUAGCUCCCUGCGUCCUCGCCUCCUGCUCCACUCAAUGGCCGGUCAUCGUGUGUGCUCGUCUUUGCCAAGAUCGGGUCCUACGAGCUCCACGCGCCUUGGCUGCGCAAGCCAUGUCCUCCGCAAAAGUUUCGCCUAGCCGCGCGGACCUCGCCGUGAGCUCUGGUGCCGGCCGGCGUCACGUCCGGGAUUUUGACAUGUCUCCUUGCUCGCCGUCGAACUUGGGUUCCCUGCUCAGCCUUCGGAGCUAGCGCGUCGCCGUGAUGUUACGGUAUUGCCGAGUCUCCAAGCCGGUAUUGUCGAGUCUCCAAGCCGGCCAUCAAGUUCUGCUUUUGCUUCCGUGCCGCACACAUUCAUCUUUGCUAGAUGGCCAUGUUGUAAAAUUAGAGAAAUAAGUG